rnacentral:misc_RNA from 1 species
UUUCCGUAGGUGAACCUGCGGAGGGAUCAUUACAGAGUUCAUGCCCUACCGGGUAGAUCUCCCACCCUAUGUUAUUAUUACUUUGUUGCUUUGGCGGGCCGUUAGGCUCCGGCCCGACUACCGGCCCCGGCUGGUAAGCGCCCGCCAGAGGACCCAAAACCCUGAAUAUUAGUGUCGUCUGAGUACUAUAUAAUAGUUAAAACUUUCAACAACGGAUCUCUUGGUUCUG